rnacentral:rRNA from 1 species
AUGGCCAAGAUAACCAGGAGGUUCCUUACUAUCCUGGCUACCUCCGUGUCUUCGGAAUCUACCUUCAGCACGACCGGAAGGAUUUUAGAUGACUAUAGGAGUUCGUUAAAACCGGUUAUGGUGGAGGCAUUAGUUUGUGGUGCAAGUUAUAUCAAGGGUGCUCAUGUUGACUUGAAUCUGGUGCGAGGGAUGAGAAUGAAGAGGAUGAUGUUGAGAACAUCAAGUUACCCAUUGUGGUGGAGGAGAUCAAUGAUUGACAUUCAUCAUGUGGAUGUUGAUCUUGCUAUUUUGGAGAUUAAUGUCAAAGUGAUCUUUCUCAUGUGA